CCGAGCAAACCAGUACGUAGCACCUUUCUAUGGCUUCUGCCCCCAGUUCCUGCCCUCAUUGCUUUUGGUGAUGAACUGUUAACAGAACUGUGAGAGAAAUAAACCCUUUCCUCCCCUUAUUGCUUUUGGUCAUGGUGUUUCAUCCCAGCAAGAGUAAUUCUUAACGAAGACACAAGCUGGUACCAGAAUAGUGGCGUAUUGCUGUGACAGACCUGUGUUGCUUUGGAGGAUGAUUGUGGAAGGACUUUGGGACUUUUUUCUGGAAAAGUCAUCGAGUGUUGAGAGCUUGGAACCACUACAGUAAAAGCUUUGCUUUGCUGGGACAAUGGAUGCUGUUCAGCUGGGGCUGAGAUUCAGCUGUGAUUAAGAAGACACCAGCAUCACCGAUGUGAAAUCUUCUAAGUGUUUUGUCAGGGUCAGCACACAAGAGCUGUGUUCCAGAAGUGGCUGAGACUGUACCUUGUGCUAGCAACUGAACUUGGUAGUAGAAGAGCUGAAGGGGUCAUAGAGAGCAAAUGAGGCUUGGCACUGUGUGGCCAGGUUACUGGUCAAAGUACAGCUCAGUUACAGCAAGGGACCCCUACAUUUUCAGAGACACCAGUUCCAUGGGAUAACCACCAAAACCAGCAGCAGCUGUGGUGUGGAGCCAGCUGGAGGGAGCCUCAAAGACAGCUGUGUGUGUUGCAGAGGGUGGAGUGAGAGACGUGAUCCAAGCAGUUCGGAGGAGCCCAGAAAAUUGAGGCACAUCCUUGAAGAAAACGGACUCUUCCUUUCCAAGCAGCCAUAAACUGCCAGUAGCUCCCGAGCUCGCAGUGGGACACAAGGUGCUGUGCAGAUGUGUCUGAGAACUGGUUUACUGGGCAAACGCCACACUGGCGAAUAUUCUCGCUGUGUGGGCUGAGCUCAUUGCUUCUUGCUGUCGCAGUGUGUUGCUGACACUCUUCUUCUCUUAUGGACAAGUCUAAGGAGAGCACACAGCGGAAAUAGAGAACCCUAUGAUGACCUUCUGGGGCCACCAAGUUAUAGAGCCCACAUGUUCAACAGAGUGACUUAACAUUAGAAGUAGAAUUGCCCUUGAAUACCAUGGAGUUCAAGUUCCUCCCUGGAGACAGAGGGAAUACUGAGUUCCACAAAACAAAAGUGACUUGUCAGAAGUUAACCAGCAUGCUUGUCACAUGUGAGCAUGAGGACUGAGAUCUCUAUCUGUCCUACGUACUGGAGAUUACAUUUAGGCGCCAGUCUGCAGACGUUUCCAUGGAUUUCAGGUUCCCUCAGUCGGGGCCCAGUGGCACUGCUCUGGGCCUGCCUUCCUUUGCCACUCAAGUGCUGACCUUCUGCAAUGUAACAGAACAAGGCCUUUGAGCUGCUCACUGGUAAGCUGCACGGUAAUGAGCUCCAGCUGUUGAGCGCAGGCUCUGGUCCAUUCUGGAAGCUUGUCUUUGUGGUACCAUUAUCCCUUCUGUUUGGGUAUCCAAAUGCCAUCUCGAGUCCCCCACUUCAGAACAACGUCCAGACAGACCUGCAAGUGUCCUUUAUGGACUGGGCAUGGCAGAUUUACCAGCUCAGGGGUCUUACAAAUCAUUUGUAAAAGGCUCUUCCAGUGCAAUGCAGGUAAACUGAAUCUCGGCAAAUCAAAUGAAAACCUCUGGUGCGUGCGGUUUGCAGAUGUUUGUGGUGUAAACAGUCACGCCAUAAUCCAA